AUGAAUCUAGUGGUGACAAUGGUUCUGGAUUGUAUGGGACAUCCUCAUCCUGGAGUCAGAUUCACCUCCAUGGAAGCAGUUCGCGAGUUUUUGAGUUUCAUGUGUCCCCAUUUUCAAGAACAAUAUCAUCAGCAAGUAGUGCCGGCAUUAAUUAAAGCUAUGGAUGAUGACAGUGUACAAGUGCAGGUCUGUUUGUCCUACGAUGAUAUGAAUUCCUUUGGAUGCUAGUAUCAUUUGUCCCAAAUUACAGUUGCAAAAUUUUCUUACUGAACCUUCUCAAUGGCCUUAACUUUAACUUUAUUAGAUAUAAUCCCUGCUCUAACUUUACUAUCUUCAUAUUUUCCUAGGUCAGCGUCAUAUGCGCGGUCACGGGCUUCCUUCGCGAUGACACACCUAAAUAUUUGACACUUUACAUCCAUGGAUUACUCGAUAAAUUGUUUCAACUGUCAUUACAUACUGUUGCGCUAGUACGUAUUGUAGACUAAGUGCAAGAGAAAUCAGAUCAUUUUCUUGAACAAUGAACAGACAAUAUUACGAAUACAUCAAGGGAAACAACCAUAAUUUCCAAGUUCCCAAUAUAAUUAUCCCGCCCUCCUUUAUAAAUUCAAAGUUUGUUACUCCCUUGAAUGUCCUUGAGGUCUUUACUUGCCUGAUUUAUUUUUAUUUUUGACAUGAAAGGUCCAAGAAUCAGCGUCAGCUGUACUCCAAUUUUUGGCUGACCAUUUUAAGGUAUUACCUAGUAAUUCUGCUUCAACUUUUAUUAAGAGUAUGUUGUAUUAAGCUGGUUAUAUAUAUAUAUAUAUAUAUAUUAAUAUUAACAUUACUUCAGCAAGAGUGCUAUGGGAACAACUACGAAUCUAUUCUACCACUUUUUAAAGCUAUCCUGGUACAAGCAAAUUUUCCAAGUAAAGAUGUAGAGAUGAUGAUGUCAUUCCUCAAACCUGGCCGUUCGUUACUUCCAAAACAGGUCUUCCACUAGUUAUACCAAAUGGAUUCUAUACAUCUCACUCAACUUAGAGCUUAUUGUUUAUUCGUUUUCUAUUUUUCUGUUGUUGACAUAAUGUCACUAUAAGAUUAUGGAAGCAGUUAUGUCAUUACAAGGAUCACAAGAGUUUGAUGAGGAUACAAAUACCAUCUUCAAGCUAGAGGUAUGUGUUGUUGAGAAUAUCGUUAACUAAUAAAAUGGUGUUCUCUCUAAUAGCUUAAGCUUUUAGAUGAGAUGGUCACACACUUCAACAUGUUAUCAGAACAGGCAGAGGCCCUGGGAUCAAAUCUCUUCGCCACCCAAAUUAAAAAGAAUUUCCACGUGCUAAUCAGUCAGAAAUUCUUUCAAGAUUGGUCUCUCUAUAUUUCUUGAUCUCAUUGCAGGCUAUUGGUGGAUUUUGUAAGGCCAUAGGGAAAGGUUUUCUUCCUUGCACCAGCAUUGUCAUGCCCCUUUUGUUGCAAUGUGCUCAACUCGAACCUGAUAAAAUCAUAUUAUCUCCAGAUUCAGACCAUACUUGUUUAGAUGAUAAUACGUACGCCUUUUUGUCAUGACGUUUCGCCUUUUUGUCAGAUCAUUGCUCUGAGUGAUUGCCUUUUUAUGUACAUUAUAACAUCUUGCAGUAUACACAGAGUCAAGGUUGGCGAUUCAACGAUAUGUAUAAAAAAAAGUUCCCUAAAGAAGAAAGCUAAAGCAUGUGAAGUCCUAGUCAUUGUUGCUAACAAAUUGAACAAAGACUUUUACCCAUGGAUUUUCCAGGUUGUCACACUUGGACUUCUCUCUUUUUCUACCCGUGCUUUUGAUCGCGAACUGAAAAUUUAACAAGUGGUUUCAAUGGCCUAAUGCUUGAUAAAUGAUACAGACUGCUUCAAUUUUAUUUCCACUUUUGAAAUUCCAUUUCAAUGAGGUCAGGUUCCAUACAGUUGAAGGUGAGAUUUCUCAGGAUUUCACAUAGUUAAUUUCUCCGUCUUUUAUAACUAUCUGAUCACCGCCAAGACUUUUUAAUUUGUAAUGUUUAUAGCGAUGAAGCACCUUUUGCAAUCUGCUAAACUGGCUGAUGAGAAAGGGAUUGCUCGAGGUGAAAGCCAUUCGGAUUUCAAGCAGUUUUCGGACAGUAUAAUACUGAAUUUGGUGGAAGCUUUGCAUGAGGUUUACUUUUAACAUUAAGCUUCUUCUAUUUGGAUAAUGAGAAAGUAACACUUUGAUUUCUAUAUAAUGCAGGAGCCUAAAACACUGCUUAUUUGUUUUGAAACAGAGAUAUAUGUAGAAAUGUUGAAUACAUUACAUGUGUGCCUUCAGGUUCGUGAUCUUUAAACACUGCUUAUUUGUUUUGAUCCAAAGUUUUCAGUGUUUCACUAUGAGCUAGGUAUGAAGUUUUUGGAACUGUUGCCUUUAAGUCUAUUGCUUAAAAUGUUCCAUUAGUAUCAUCGAAGUGAGAAACUAGCAAUGGUGACAAAAAUCGAGUUAGAAUGGCAAAAUAGGAAUUUUCAGGUUGUAUAUGGUCCUUGUGUUUCUUCUUUCAGAUAUGUGGACCACUUCUCAAUGAAGAUCAGCUUCGUCCGAUCGUGGAUGAGAUAAAGCAUGUCAUUACAGAGAGUUCAAAUAGCCAAGGAAAACUCACAGAGAGAGAAAAAACAGAAGAUUUUGAUGCUGAGGAAGCUGAAUUGCUGAGAGGGGAAAAACAUCGACAAGAUCAAAUAUUUAAACUUGUAUGUUCUAUAUUAAAACAGUGAUUCACUGUUGUCUUUAUAUAUUCAAGAAUUUUCACUUUGGUUCUGCUGUUAUUCUUGAACACAGGCUGGUCUCAUAUUAUGUAGACUGAUCGAAACAUUCAAGGUUGUUUUCUUGCCUUACUUUGACGAGUUAUCAUUAUAUCUGAUUCCGAUGUGGGUAAGUUCAUUGACACUAUUGUAACAUGAUGUUAGUUUAUCAUUAUUCAUAUCUAGUAUAUCUUAUUGUUUCCGAUUUUUGUUAAGGACAAAGAAAUGACAAUUCAAGAGAGAUGUACAUCACUUUAUAUCUUUGAUGGUCUUGUGAAGCAUUGCUCUGAAGCAGCUCUAAAGUGAGUUUAAUUUAUCUGUAUGAGUUUUCUUAAAUUAUUGGGGUGUCACCAUUUUGAUAAAUCACUUACUUCCUAUGCCAACUAGGUACUGUGAUGUAUUUCUACCUUUGCUUCUGAAAUCAAGCAACGACGAAAACCCAGCAGUUAGACAGGUUUGGAUCAUCGUGAUUGCUUACAUUCCUGUUACUCAAGUUGGUUGCUCACAGUAUGGUUUAACCAAAACACCAAUGACUUCAUGUUCAGAAUGCUCUAUAUGGACUUGGGCUUUAUGCAGAAUAUCAUGGUUCUGUUUUCAAACCUUUUGUUAGAGGUAUUAAUAUUAUUGAAUGUGAUACUUCUAAUCAAGCAAGUGUUUUUGUUAACUUACGCGUUUAUGUUCAGAGGCUAUGUCACGGAUCAAUGUAGUGAUAAUGCAUUUACGUGCUCGUGAACCUGAGAAUGAACUUGCAUAUGAUAAUGCUGUUUCUACCCUUGGUAAAAUAUUUCAGUUUCAUCGAGAACUUAUCGACUCAGCCCAGGUUUGUCCUUCUCAGAAUCCCUAAUGUUAAGUCUUGUUAUAAUUUCUGAUUCUGAAUCCUUGUGUAGGUCAUUCCCAUUUGGUUGAAUUGCCUGCCUAUAAAAGGUGACCUUCCUGAAGCCAAAUAUGUUCAUGGUCAACUAUGUUCCAUGGUUGAAAGGUAUUGGAUUUGUUUGCAAACUCUAAUAUGUCAUAUCUUCAUAGUCUUUAAAAUGUUUUAUAUCAAAUUUUUUCACUUGCAGGUCAGACAGAGAACUUUUAGGUCCCAAAUAUGAACACUUUCCAAAAAUUAUGUCAGUUUUUGCAGAGGUUAGUUCCAUAUCAGACUCUACAGAUGCCAGUUUGAGUUGUUCAUUUGUUCCUGAUAGAUAUUUAAGGAGAGAAGUAUUGGAAAUAUUCCUAAACUAGGUGUGAAUUAUUAGUUUUAUCUUCGAACUAUUGACAACCUUAAAAACACUUAUUUACUUGACUAACACCCAUGAUCUUGCAAUAUGAGUGAAAUACACUCCUAAAUUCUCUCAAGUUUAUGGGUGCUUUGAACACUUCUCUCGACUUUUUAUUAAGAGUUUCAUGUCUUUACAAGAGUGUAUGCAAUGUGGCAGAUCAGAUAUGUAUCUAAGUUUAAGCUAGUCAAGUAGAUGGGUGUUUUUAAAACUGUCACUAAUUUGGAGACGAAACUAAUAAUUUGUGCCAAGUUUAAGGAUGUUUUCAACACUUGUCUCGUAUUUAAUCAAUCAUGAGACAUUUUUGGACCAAACUAUUGACCUAAAGAUAUUUUUAUUCGAUGUUGUAUAGUUAAUUUAGUUUUGCUUUUUAAGGUUUUACGUGGUGGAAAACAUCUUGCUACAGAAGAAACAGCAAAGUGUAUGAUUAAUCUGUUGAGGAAACUUGAGAAAGAAGUAGCACCAGACACCUUGAUAUCUGCAUGGUCAUUACUAUUGCCUAAGCAGGAGAUGGAACUGAAAUCCAUUCUAUUUCCUGGCAUACUUAUAAACCACAAAACAUUUUUUGUGCUUGGCAGUAAUUUCUCAAUUGUCAAAUUUCUUGAGGAAGAACUCCAGAAAAAUAUUACUAAUGUUCGACGAAUGUGACUUAUAAACCGUGUAUUGUAUCUUUAAUUUAGUUUUGUUACAGAAUAAUGUAUAGAUGAUACUAUAGUUGAUUUGUGGGAAUUUGAAUAUUUAAUUACCAUAAUUAGACUAUUCUCACUUAUUUAUAUCUUUGUAUUCUUUGAGUAGUACUCCCUCCAUUUCUAUUUAUAUGUCGUCCUUUUCUAAGGAUAGAUAAUAUUUAAUAUUUGACAUUUCACAAAACCAAUACAUAAAUAAAACGAUUCUUUCUAUUUUUACCUUUAAAAGCUAUUAGCCUUGAAAGUAUGAAUUUGACCAAUAUAGGAAAACUAAAUGAUUAGAUCAUUUUCAUUGAUCAAUUUAAUUAAUCAAAAUAAAUUAAUUUAUAUUCAUUUGUUGAAACUUGACUUCAAGAGAUCACUAAAUAAGGAUACACCAGUCAAUUCACCUAGACGUGAAAUCUAAAAUUGUGGCAUAUAAAUAGAAGUGAGGGGGUAGAUAAGAAAUUUUAUGUAACUUCUCUUGUUUUCGUGGUAUCAGAGCCUAAGGGCUCAAAUCUUUAGAUUCUCUAAAACAAAAUUUCAAUAAGGGGUCUACAGUAUAAAUAAAAUUUUAAUAUUCAAACAUUUCAAUAUUAUUUAAAUUAAUUUACCUUAGAGAUUGACAUAAUUCGAAAACCAAAUACCGAAUAAAUAAUUCAUAAAACUGAAAUUAUCAUCGCCGGACCAGUGACCACUAGUACCUCCAAACAACUCAAAAACAAACUACCACCCGAUCACACCAAAUCGGUCGUUACAUGAAAUGAGACAUUUCAUGGUAACGAUGGAUCUAAAUGAUACAAUACAAUAAAAUUUAAGUAACAAUCAACAUAAGUAUUGUAUUUAAACUAACUAUACAAUAUAAUGGGUAACAACCAUCCAAACAAGGUGUUAAUGUAAAAGCAUACAGAAUAUCAUAUAAUAAAGUUCAUAUAUCAAUGCAAUGGAUCCAUUGAAAGAAAGUAUUUUGAAGUACACACAAAACUCAAAAACAAGAAAAUUAUCCAUCUAGAUGGAUAUGAUUAUGCAUAAUGAACAGAGGAAACAGCUUAAGAGAAAAACUGGUCCAUUAGAUCCCCUCUUUCAAUCGCGAUCUUCUAUUUCUGCACAGCAAAGAAACACUUCUCAAAUAUAUUUUACGAAAGAUUUAACAGGUAAAAGUGUACAAGCUCAAAAUAUGAUGCAAUUAAUCUUGAGUCAGUUACCUGUUAAACCAGUGUUGCAGUUUUUUAUAUGCAAGGGGUAAAUAAGGACCUUGAGCUCUGCAUUUCCAUAUUCUUCUUGCACUUCUUGAAUGUCCUUGACUGACUUUUCAAGAGACUCACCACAUCGUUUCACUUCAACUAUCUUUAGAGUAGGAAUAUCUCCAAUCAUAGAAGGAAUUUCUUGAAGAUUAAAGCAGUUUUCUACCAGAAGCUGUUUGAGGUUAAGCAAGGACUCAUUUGAGGCAUUCCAUGUUGUUAUUUUAAGGGAACUUAAUUUAAGAACCUUGAGGUUCAGAAACUCUUCAUCUUCGAUCUCCCAUUUGUCCUGCUGAAAUGCUCUAUGUUCCAACUUGAGAACCACUAAAUUUGGUAAUCUUCCGAUAUUAGACAGUUCACUUUGUGGCAACAAAACAUCUGAUAGAGUUAGCUUUGUUAGUGUCGCGGGCAAGGUGAAAUUCAAAAUCUUACCAUUUACACUGAGUGUUUCAAGUUGAAGAGCAUCUAAUUUGAGUUUGAGAGGCUCUUUACAGUGGCAUUUGAGCUUUCGCAGUCUGCUUGCCUUCUUGACCAUGUAGUCUACUAGCUCAUUAGUGAGAGACACUGUGGCCAAAGUCUCUAUGUUUGUCGAUGUCUGAGGAAUGCGUCCAUCAAAAGAUGCAACAGGUUCAACAUGUACAUGCUUUAGCCUUGGCAUAUUCCAGAUGGUCAUCGGUAAAAUUGUGCCACUGCCUACUGUUAUUACAAGCAAUACCUCUAGGUUUGAAAGGUUCGAUAUCCAUAAUGGCAUAGAUACCAUAUAGCCUUUGAUUCCUAAGUACUUCAAAUGGAUCAGCUCUUUUGAUCUCUGGAAUGAACUGUCUGACAUAGGACAUUCCAUUUGUAGUACUUUUAAUAGUUUAAAGUUCUCGAGAUCAAGAAAUUCCUGGCAGCCAGAUUUCGGGGGUCUGAAGAAUGCAGAUCGAACUUGCAUGUUUCCAAUCUUCCCUGCCCAAUAAAGGCUAUGAUGAAUGCAAAGCCUCCGGUGCUCAUAAAAGGAACUAGACAAAUCAGUCUUCCCGGUGCUUGUUAGUUGCAUAAACUUCUCUUCCUUAGACUUUGUCAUGCAAAAAUCAUGUAACAUAUCAUGAAUGUGGCAUGUUCUGACUCCUCCAGUGGACUUUCUCUUGCUCACCAUUAUCAAGCUUCUACCAAUGAGAUCAUUCAGUAAACUUUCUACAGCAAGGUGUAUACUUUCUACCUCUAUGUUUGGCACCAAUCCCUCAAUAGUCCAUAACCACUCCAAGUUCGAGAGUGGAAUUUCUUCAUCCUUUUGAAAUGAUGCAAAAUAUAGAAGGCAGGGUUUGAGAUGAUCAGGCAAGUGCUUGUAGCUCAGUUCUAUAACCUCCAUGCACUCUUUUGCACUAGUAACAGUAUCUAACUUUAUACUUUCUGCGAUUCUUCUCUAAUUUUCCUCAUUUUUGCUUAUCCCAGACAAAACUCCAGCAACCAAAAUCACAAGGAGAGGUAGUCCUUUACACUUACUCGCGAUGUUUGCUCCACUUUUGAUAGGUCUGGUGGGCAAGUUUGUUCCUUGAACAGCUUGAUUCUCAUUAGUUCCCAACUUUCAUUUUCGUCAAGGAAACGAAGGUGAAGAGGUUCUCUAUCAGGGUUAAUUUCUGAAGCCACAUCGCUGAGUCUGCUAGUUAAUAAAAUCCUGCUUCCGUUAUUAUCAUCCGGGAAGCAUCCUCUCAAGUCAUCCCAUGUGUCAACACUCCAAAUGUCAUCAAUGUAGAGAAGGUACCUCUUCUUUUUUAAGAAUUUCUGCAAAGCAUCUGCUGGAUUUGACUCAUUCUGUUGAUUGGAACUUUUAACUUGAUUCAAAAUUUCAAGCAGCAACUUUCUCCUGUCAUAAGCUUGGGAAACACAACACUUAGCUUUGACAUCGAAAUGACGCCGCAUUUUCUCAUCAUGAAAAACUUUCUUUGCUAGUGUAGUUUUUCCAAGACCAGGCAUCCCUACGAUAGACACAACAUCCAAGUACUUUGGUCCUCUAGUGAGCCAGUUGAUUAGCAAGUCAAUCUCGUCCUUAAAACCCACCAUUACCUCAUCAAGUUGUGUAGUCUCAACUACUUGUCUGACAGGAUUUGGUGUUUGUUCUUCAAUAGGGACUUCAACUUCUCGCGUAAUCGUAGCAUGGAACUCUUUCAAAUGAUUCCUUACAACCUUAGUUUCUGUUGUGAUCUUACAUAACAAAUGUAGAUACCAAACAGGAUAAUCUCCGGUAACCAGGCAAUCAAUUAUGCAUUCUGCCUGGUAUGCUAGAGAUAUGACUUCUGUCCAUAGAUCAUGUUUCUUCACCUCCUCAAACUCAUGUUUUUUCUUCUCAACUUCCUUCAAGAAGUCUCGUACGAGACAUAACUCUUCCUGAGCUUCUUCAAUAAGAUGCUUGACAACAGAAUCACACUUUCCGUCUUGCAGCAGCUCUUCCAGAUAGCGUAAGAGGGAAUCGAUAAACCCCAAUCCAUUUGUCCUAGGAAAAUUACAUUUUGAUGACACUACAUCUUUCAGAAUCACAUCUUUUAGAUCUUCCAUGACAUGUUCAAUCUUUUUAACAAGUCACUGAAUACCGAGUUAACUUCUGCUGCUUUGUCAACGGAGAAAGAGAAAGCAGCAGAUACUACCUCAGCAAUCAGACCUUCAAUGCAAGUAAGUUUGUCACUCAUUUUUUCCUGGAUAACAUAUAAAUCUUCUGGUGGACAAAUGAGCAAAGUUACCAAUUGCUUUGAUGCUUCGGCAAGGCUUUUGAUUUGAUCCUUUUUAAGAGGAAGCAUCAAAGAACAUGCCUCACCGUCUGAUAACUCCAACAAAUCCUUGAAGAUGAAAUGAACAAAACCUUCAACAAAUUCUAUCACAUCCCGGCUGUAUUGGAUUUGCAAUUUAACUGAACCUCUUAGAGCUCCAGUAUAGAUUUCUGCAAUGUGCGGAUCAAUGGGCUUGAUAUCUUUCAAAACAUGAGAGAUUUGNNNNNNNNNNNNNNNNNNNNNNNNNNNNNNNNNNNNNNNNNNNNNNNNNNNNNNNNNNNNNNNNNNNNNNNNNNNNNNNNNNNNNNNNNNNNNNNNNNNNNNNNNNNNNNNNNNNNNNNNNNNNNNNNNNNNNNNNNNNNNNNNNNNNNNNNNNNNNNNNNNNNNNNNNNNNNNNNNNNNNNNNNNNNNNNNNNNNNNNNNNNNNNNNNNNNNNNNNNNNNNNNNNNNNNNNNNNNNNNNNNNNNNNNNNNNNNNNNNNNNNNNNNNNNNNNNNNNNNNNNNNNNNNNNNNNNNNNNNNNNNNNNNNNNNNNNNNNNNNNNNNNNNNNNNNNNUGGGCUGCAUAAAUUUGGUAAAGGCCACCUCCCUGGAACCAAUGAAAGGAGAAACUCAUAACCUUCUUUGACUUCAGCAGAAGAUAAGUCUGCCCUUGGUCCCGAGACAGUGUCACCGACUUGCAUUCCAUGUCUGCACAAUCUCCCCUCCUUAAUCCUUCCUUUUUCAUUUGCCCAAUACAAGAAAGUACCAAAAAAUCUCCUCUCUAUUUCAGACAUUUGUUUUCCAGCAGAAUUUCCUCAGAGUGGAUAUAUGUCGACAGCUCUGCAAGCAAAGAGAUUAAAAGCAAAUCACAUUCUAGGACAAACAAUGCAUACUCCAACUCUACACCAGCAAAACUCUGGUACCAUAAUCUAGCUGCUCUUCAUAUUGCGUCAAAUCCGGUGUAUCAUGAAAAAACUAAACAUAUUGAGGUUGAUUGCCAUUUUAUUCGCGAGAAGAUUCCGGAAAACAUGAUUUCCACUGGCUACGUGAAGAGAGGAGGGCAACUAGCUGAUUCUGUUCACAAAAAUGUUGAAUGGAACUCGAGUUGAUUAUCUUUGUAACAAGCUACUAUAAAGCUAUAUGUUUUCUUGUAUAUAAUAUUCUAGCUGAUUUCUAGGGAUUCAGAUAUCUAGUUACCUUAGUUAGCCUUUUCUUUACGUGUACUUAAAUCAGUGUAUUCUUUGGAUAAUAUACAAAUACAAGCUAUACUCUUAAACUUCAUUCUUUGAUAUAUAACAAUAGCUGAUUGCAUUAUGUCUGCAUUCAAAAUUAUGUAGCAAAAGAUGCAAGAAUUAAUACAAAUUAAGUUUGUUAUAAAAGUCUAUCACAUACCUUUUUAACAACUUUGGCAGAGCAGAAAGCAGUGAUCUAGGGUUCAUCAAUUUGUUCCACAAUUUUAACCAAAAACAACUAAAGUGGACUUGCUUUUAUAUGUGUGUUAAUCAUGGAAUACUUUUGAGAUUACUUAAUAUAAAGUAUAAUGAAACUAAAAAUUACAGAUAAAUGAAGACUAUAAAAUGAUGCAGCUUGAUUGUUUCAUUCUGGCCACUGGUAAUGGAUAAGAAAUGAUUUGUUUUCCUCUGUUUCAAUUUGUUUGGCCUAUUUUGAUAUGACGUGAAGUUGUAGAAAGUGAAAAAGACUUUUGAAUCUUAUGGUCUUAAACAUGUCGUGUGGAAAGUUGAAGUUAAAGAGUCGCUAAAAAAAGAAAGGGUCGUUCUUUUUUAAACAGACUAAAAAAAAAAAAGUAGGUUAAACAUAUUAAAACGGAGGAAGUAAUUGAAAGUCUGAACCUACUAAAAAGAAAAGUAGGUCAUGAGUCGGUAUCAUAUUAAUUAGAUCAUUGAAAUAUCUCAUGAUUUACGGAAGAAAGUCCUCAUUUGCUGCUACCAAUUUCACCACUUUGUCAAACAUCAUUUAAUUGGCAAAGAAAAGUCAAAUAAGACAUUUGCAAGUUAGAUAUUAUUCUUGUCAUUGAUUUCACUCAUGAAAUUAUUCGUGUUAGAAAGCAGAAUGAGGUAUACCAUAUAGACUGUAUAAAAAAAUAGUCUGAUAAAAAAAAUAGAGCGUUAGCGAUCAUCUCUUAUCGGAAAAGGUCGGAAUCUAAGUCAAUGAUGAAGCAGAAGGAUCCUAACUCAUUAGCUCUUAAGCUAGCCAAGUCUCUUGGCUCUGAUCAGCUAGCUGCUGCACUUCAUCCUGACAACAAUUGGCCUAAAUUAUUACUCCCUCCGUCCCAUUUUAUGUGGCAACAUUUGACCGGGCACGGAGUUUAAUAAAUAGAUAAAGACUUUGAAAUGUUUAUCAAAUUGCCCUUCAAAAAAAUAGAUAUAUUUUUCUCUCUCCUAAUAAAUGUAUUGGAGUACUCUUUUCAAGAUUAAGUGGGACCAACAAGGGUAAAAGAGAAAUUAUACCUUUAAAUACUUACCAAAUAAGGAAAUGUGACAUUCUUUUUGAGACUGACCAAAAAGGAAAUGUUGCCACAUAAAAUGGGACGGAGGGAGUACCAAUCUUUUAUAGGUGUUUCAGUACUCACUACAAGAAAAUGUACAUACGACAUUAAUUUAGUGACAUUUGAAAUAAAUGUUGGAAAAUAAAGAAUUUUACGAUAUUUAGGAACAAAAUGUCAUAAAACAAUGACAUUUGAUGUCAAAUGUCGUAAAAAUAAUGACAUUUGGUAUCAAAUAUCAUAAAAAUAAUAACAUUUGGUCCAAAAUGUACUAUGAUAAUGACAUUUAUUGCAAAAUAUCGUUGUUUUUAGCGACAUUUAGCAAAAAUGUCAUUUAAAUGAUGACAUUUGCUACAAAUGUCGAAUAUAAUAUGACAUUUAUUACAAAAUGUCAUUGGUUUUAGUGACAUUUAGAAAAAAUAUCGCUUAAAUAGUGACAUUUAAUAUAAAUGUCGAAUAUAUUAUGACAUUUACUGCAAAAGGUCAUUGAUUUUUAGUGACAUUUAGAAAAAAUGUCACUAAAAUAGUGACAUUUGUUGUAAAAUGUCAUUGAUUUUAGCGACUUUUAGCAAAAGUGUUGCUAAAGAAGCGACAUUUAAUACAAAUGUUGAAUAUAUUACACUAGUAGAAUUUCGUUUGCAAAAUUGUUGCUAAAAUAGUGACAUUUCAUACAAUUAUCGAAUAUAUUAUGACAUUUAUUGCAAAAUGUCAUUGAUUCGAUCGACAUAUAGUGAAAAUUUCGCUAAAACAGUGACAUUUUUAUACAAAUAUCGAAUAUAUUAUGUCAUAUGUUGAAAAAUGUCAUUGAUUUUUAUGACAUAUGAUGAAAAGUACUGUUAAACGACUACAACAUUUUAUGUCUACAACCACCCUAGAAAAGUGUAGCCUUUGAUAAAAGGCCACACUUUUUGACUUUAAGCCACGCUUUUCCAGGGGUGGCCGAAAGAAGCAUAACCUUAGAGUUUAGGCGACACUUUUCAAGUGUUGCCUUAACAGCUACGCUUAAAAGCAUAGCCUAAAAGGCAGAAAGGCCACGCUUUGCAGUACCUCAUAUAGCUUAACAUUUCUAUCUCAUACAACUACACUUUCAAGGGUGGCCUUUGCUUCCUUAUUGCCCACGAUUUUAAAGUGUUGCCUUUUCUAUCUUAUGUAUGACAACACUUUGAAGUGUAGUCCUUGCUCAUGUGCAUACCACAAUUUACAGUUAUUUGGCUGCACUUUUAAGUAUGGUAAUAUUAUUUUUACUAUAAAAUAUUUAUAUGCCACAAUUUCUAAUUAAAAAACAUCAAUAUUAUUUUGCAAUAAAUAAUCUCAAACACUAAAUUAGCUAAUAAGUAAUUCAAAUAUAUAGAUUUGUAAUAAACUUCAAAAGAUAGUAUGUCUUGUGUACAUACACAUACUUGUUUGACAGAGAAUUUAAACUAGUUUGUUGAAUUAAUCCAACACAUUGACACUGAAGCAAUAGUCCAUUACAUUGAUAUAUUACACCCUAUAUUCCUAAACACGUUGAAUGGUUCCCUGUAUCUAGACGUGAAAAUAUCCAUUAUGAUGUAUUCAAAUUGUCUCAUUGAACUAACUACAUAUCUGAAGCUGUCUCACUGCCAGCAAAAUGUGUACCUUGUACUCUUUGCUUCAAGUAGUAUGAACCAUGUCUAUUUGACCCUAUAAGUAAUAUGAACUAUGUCUAUUUGUAUAAUUUUCACUCGAACCCUAAAGUACUUAGGUCCAAUAAACACAUUCAUCCUAUGUGGUGUCCUGUAUGAUAAUUUUGUGUCCUAUGUGACGUCCUACAUGUAUUAUGUUGUAGGACGUAUGAGUCAACUUGUUCAAUUUUAUACAAGUUGAAGUGUCUAUUUGUGCAUGCCAAAAAUUGAAGGACAUAUAUGUCAGAUGAAUUCAAAUUUAAAAACAUAUUUAUGUAUUAUGUCAAAUAUUAAUCUAAAGACAUCACAAAUAUGGCCGUGUAAGAUGGUAAUCGAUCCGUUAUACCAACACCAAAUGAACAGAAGGACAAAUUUAGAUGUGCAUGAAAUACUUUUAAUUAAUGGUGAAAGAUAUAUACAAGUGAGUAAGCAUACAUGUGAUCUACACUCUAACCAAAAAGAGCAAUUAUUUUUUGUUGUUGUCAAAAUUAAUCCUCCAAUAAUUCCUUUCAUCUUCAAAAAUUACUUUCACUUUGCAAUUUUUUUCUUGUCUUCAAAGCAUACUGCUUAAAAAUAUAGAGAGAAGAGCUAGUAUUGAUCACUUUGCUAUAGUCUGUCUAUAGUUUCUUUCAAUUGAGUACUAAACAAUGACUAAAUGUUCUUCUCUUCAUUUUUAAUUGCACUUAAUAGGUACUAUUUCCUAAUUAUUUGGCCACAUUUCCUUUUUUAAUUAUCCCUAAUUAUUUGUUCAUUUUGAUAAAUCAAGAAAUGACAAUUUUUUACCUAUUAUACCCUCAAUUAAUUACAUUGAAAAAUGUAGAACUUUUUGAAAAUCUUAAGUUUUUAUUCAUCAACUUCAUAAUUAAUAAGGGUAAAAUGGUAAACUCACUAUAUCAAUUAUUGUUUUCGUAAUAGACGUGUCAAUUCAAAAGUGGACAAGUAAUUAGGAACAUAGUACUCCUUCCGUCCGAAUUUAGUUGUCCAUAUUUCUUCUUUUAGUUGUCCCUAUUUAGUUGUCCAUUUUGACAAAUCAAAAAAGGAUAACAAAUUUUUUCCUAUUAUACCCUUAUUUAAAUGAAGUUGUCAUAAAUAAAGUAAAUAAACUUAUGAACUUCCCAACAUUGAUUAGUUAUCUUGAGUGAAUUUAUUUUGAAAUUGUAAAUUGUACUAUAAGGGUAAAAUUGUAACUUCACUAUGCUAAUCAUUGUUGCCUUAAUCUGUGUGUCAUUUCUAAAGUGGACAACUAAAUAGGGACGAGUAAUAAACGAUGACCAAGAAAGAAUAAUUAAUUAUUUUUCUUGUUUUUUCCUCUAAUGGAGGACAGAUGGAAGAUUAAUAAAAUAUUAUUUAUCUUCUUAAAGUUUAGAGGCCCACUUAAUAAUUGCUACAAAACAAAGAUGCUAAUCAGCUAAAGGAUAUAUUGUAGAAUAAUAAUUUAUACUCCCUUUGUUCGCUUUUAUUUGUCCUAAUUUUACUUGACACACCCAUUAAAAAAAUAAUUAUUAAUAUAGGUAUUUUAUUAAAUUGUCCCUAUUAAACGAUGUUUAGUAUUAAGUAUUGGAAAGUGACUUGGAAAUAGAGUAUUUAAUAUUGAGGGUAAAAUAUGGAAAAAUAUAAUUGUCUUUUUAUGAUAUGUCAAAAGUAACAAAUAAAAUGAAAAUUUAUUUUAGGAAUAAGUGAAAGUGAACGAGAGUAUUAAUUUUAUCUACCCGAGUUAAGAGGUUCAAAUCAAUGAUUUCUUUAUCUUGUCUUUUUAGCAUUGCAAUUAGGGGUGUAUAAAAUCGAACCGAAAAUCGAAUCAAGCCGUAAAUCAAAAAAAAAACCUGACUAGUGGUUUGGUUUGACUUGGUUUGGUAUUGGAAAAAAAAAUCCGACUAUAUUUGGGUUGGGUUGGGUUGGUUUUAACUUAAAAAAAACCAACCCGAGACCAAACCAACCCGACAUUAUAUAUGUAAUUUUAAAAUUUUAUUUUAUACAUAAAAAUAUUUACUUUGAUAUAAUUUUAAAAUAUUUCUUAUACUAUUUCAUAGUUUUUAUCUUUUAAUAUAUUAUUUCAAGUUUAAAACUUAGAAUUCGGAAUGGUCCAAUAAAGAUUAUAGUUCAUAGAUGUUGAUAAUUAUAAUUAAAUUUAAAUCAAAAUCAAAUUAAUACUAAUGCAAAAAGAAAAUCAAUUCAACACUAAGAAUGACAAUAAUAUUGAAUAUUUGUUCUUUAGUUUUACAUUGGUUUAGACAAUUAAAAUACAUAAUCUAAUUUUAAUUUUCCUUAAAUAUUUAGUAAUGUAACUAAUACUUAUUAAACUUAUUUUAGCAUGAUUUAGUACUUUUAAAUUAUGAUCAUUUUCAUUAUGACUUUGCAAUAUUUAUUUUAUAUAAUGAUUUCAUUAUUAUUUAUUAUUGAAUAUUUUUGUUCACCAGUACUCAUCUCAUAUUUUGUGUUAUUUUUUUUUUAAGAAAUACCUUAGAUAAUUGUAUUUUGGUUGGACUAAAGAAAUAUUUGGAGCACAAGUUAAUUAUGAAAUAUGUCUAUUUGUAUAACAGAUGAAUGAAGAAUAUAAAAUGAUGCAACUUCAUUGUUUCAUUAUGGCCACUGGUAAUGGCUAAGAAAUGAUUUUUUCCCCCUUUGUUUCAAUUUGUUUGACCUACUUUGACUUGACAUGAAAUUUAAGAAAAUAAAAAAGAUUUUUAAAUCUUGUGGUCUUAAACAUGUCGUGUGAAAAGUUGAAGUUAAAGAGUUGCUAAAAAAAGAUAGGGUCAUUCUUUUUUAAACAGAUUAAAAAGAAAAGUAAGUCAAAUAAAUUAAACGGAGGAAGUAAUUGAAAGUCUAAACCUACUAAAAAGAAAAUUAGGUCAAGAGUCGGUGUCAUACUAAUUAGAUCAUUGAAAUAUCUCAUGAUUUACAGAAGAAAGUCCUCAUUUGCUGCUACCAAUUUCACCACUUUGUCAAACAUCAUUUAAUUGGCAAAGAAAAGUCAAAUAAGACAAAGUUAAACAUUAUUCUUGUCAUUGAUUUCACUCAUGAUAUUAUUCGUAUUAGAAAGCAGAAUGAUGUAUAUCAUAGGCUGUAUAAAAAAUAGUUUGGUAAGAAAAAUAGAUUUUUAGCGAUCAUCUGUUAUCGGAACUAGCAAUAUGGAUCCUAACUCAUUAGCUCUUAAGCUAGCCAACUUGUAUAGGUGUUUCAGUACUAAUUCCCAUUUGACAGAGAAUUUAAACUUGUUUGUUGAAUUAAUCCAACAUAUUGACGCUGAAGCAAUAGUCCAUUACAUUGAUAUAUUACACCCUAUGUUCCUAAACACGUUGAAUGAUUCCCUGGCUAAUCUAGACGUGAAGAUCACUGCCCUGACGGCGAUGAGUAACUUCAUUCAACAGGUGGGGAGUUCAAAAGAUAGGGAGAGGUUUCAGGAUCUGUUGCCUGCGAUGAUGGACAUGCUGAAUAAGGCAUUGGAAGAAAAUUGUGAGGCAUCAGCUCAGUCUGAGUUGGAGAUUUUGAUUGAGUUGGCCAAGAAUGAGCCUAGCUUCUUCAGGAUGCAGCUUGUGGUUGUGGUGGGUUCCAUGUUUGAUAUAGCUGAAUGCGAGAGUUAUGAAAAGAAAACGAGACGUUUGGCGGUUGAAUUCGUGAUGACAUUGGUUGAGGCCAGGGAGAAGACCCCUGGCAUGAUCAAGAAGUAUCCAUUGUUUACUGAAAAAUAUUUUGCAAUUUUAUUGAAUUUGUUAGAGGAUGAGGUUUAUGACCCUCUCUUGCCUGAUCCUUAUGAUAAAUGGGAUAACAAUUAUGAUUUCCUUUUUCUUAAGAUGUGUUUAAGGCGGUUGUCCAAUGCGCUGGGUGGUAAGACUGUUGUUCCUGUUGCCUUUGAGCAGCUCCGUGCUCACUUGGCUGACGACUCGUGGCAGAAGCCAUGCGCAGCACUCUAUGCACUUGCUCAGAUUGUUGAAGGCUGCUCAGAGGUGUGUAUUUAUUGAUACACUACUAAGAAUUGCAUUUAAACUGAUUAGUUAACGAUCUUGGGAUAGCAGAAGGUCACCUUGAUUAUACUUUCUUCUGUUAUUCUCUAGACUAAGUACUUUGCUUGCUCUCAUCUCUUCUUCAUUAUAAUAGGUGAUGAUUAAGAAUAUGAAUCUAGUGGUGACAAUGGUUCUGGAUUGUAUGGGACAUCCUCAUCCUGGAGUUAGAUUCGCCUCCAUGGAAGCAAUUCGCGAGUUUUUGAGUUUCAUGCGUCCCCAUUUUCAAGAACAAUGUCAUCACCAAGUAGUGCCGGCAUUAAUUAAAGCUAUGGAUGAUGAGAGUGUACAAGUGCAGGUCUGUAUGUCCUACGAUGAUAUGAACUCCUUUGGAUGCUAGUAUCAUAUGUCCCAAAUUACAGUUGCGAAAUUUUCUUACUGAACCUUCUCAAUGGGCUUAACUUUAACUUUAUUAGAUUUAAUCCCUGCUCUAACUUUACUAUCUUCAUAUUUUCCUAGGUCAGUGUCAUA
rnacentral:lncRNA from 1 species